CCGUUUUUAAACUGGUCAAGGUGUUCUUCAAGAUCUCCAUGGAAAAUAUUCACGCUUUCACUUUUUGCUCAGAUAAUAGAACAUUGUAAAUCUCUAACUGAAAAUACGGACCCAAAUGAAUCAAAUUCGAAAGCACGAUGGAGAAAGAUGUUCACUAUGAAUAAAAAAUUCAAAACAGAGGACUUUUAUAUAUCAACAAAAACAAUUGCAGUACAUGCACAUAUACAUGUAUAAAAGUACACUGUCAGCAUGGUCAGAAGAAGAAUUUUACUGGAGGAUUAAAAUUUUGAUACCUGGAAUCAGCAAUGAAUAUGAAAAUGAAAAUAAGAUAUAUUCAUGUACAGAAUGGUAACCGAGGUGGUUCAAUUGUUUAUUAGCAGACAUUUUUGUUGAACUUAUGCAGGAUUGAAUAAAUGAAACUUAAGCUGA